rnacentral:tRNA from 1 species
UUAUGGGUAGGUUAUUUAAACUGAUAAAUUGUGGAUUUAUUGAUUACUAUUGUACUCAUAAA